GAACAACUGCUGCCGACCACAGUUUUUGUGACGAUAAGUCGAUAACAGACAAGUGAUAACAGUAAAGUUCCCUAUAAACAGUACAAGCACGGAAAGCUCUCUCGAUUCUCGAAUCUUGAUUCUCGUCCAAUGUCUCUAAGGAUCCUGGAUCGUUAAUGUAGUUAUUAAUUAAAAAAUAUUCAGUAAUCAAUGUGACCAUAUUGGUAGAUCUUAGCCAAUGUCAACAACGACGCUGCUCAUUGAACAAUAAAUUUCAAUCGCCGUUUCAGCAAUUUCAAAGAGAAACUGGUUCCUCAAGUUCUAUCUUGCUGAUGUACAUCUGCUAUCUACUGACAGGAAUCCGAUUGAGAAUGACUUACGUACCUACUUACAUGGCGGCACUGUGUUCUUAUUUAUUUGUCGUUUAUCUGAAGACCAUCCACAUUGAAGCAGCAUGAAAACAUUAAUUGUCAAUGCAAGGAUCGAAGAUCUAAAAACUAGUUGGUUGGAAGAGAACUUACUUCAAGAAAAGGAAAAGAAAAAAUAAUUGAUAACUAAAAGGUGUUCCAAAUAAAUCCACAAACUGUCAAUGCUUUACAAGAAUUACUAUUUGUUGAAUAGUCUCAAGACAAUUGUUUAGUUUAAUCUAUUAGAUAAGUACACUUAUAAUCAAAUUCAAAUCCAGUUUUUUUGCAAUAGUCUCUUAGGUACAAAAUUAUGCAGCGAAUAAGAAUAAUUGAGUAAAAUAAUAAUAUACCUACUUAAAAUAAUAAAAAUAAUUUUACCUAAUUUUUUUUAUAGUAAAUAUAAUAAUUAAAAAUAAUACAUAUUUACAUUUUACAAAUACUAAACAUUUUCUUAUUUUAUGCCACACAAAAACUGUCAUUUUACUAUAAUAUACACCAGGGAUCGCCAAAUGGUGGCCCUCGGGCCACAUCCGGCCCGUGGAUGAAUUUUAACUGGCCCGCAGACAAGGAGAAAACAAGCUGAUAAUUUCUUAUCUUUGUACAUUACUUUUGGCCAAUCGGCAUAUUAUAAUAAAUAUUAUGUACUUUACGUUUUUAUAGCCCGCAAGAAUUUUCCGAAUUCUUAAUGUGGCCCACGGAAACCUAUUAAUUUGUUGUUUUGUAUAUAAACUUCUCGAGCUAGUUUUUAAACAGUGUUUUAAAACUGUUUUUUUUCAUGUGUAACAUUUUUUCAUUUACUUGCCUAUUAGUUAUUAAUAACAAUAA